GAUGAUAUAGCUCAGUGGUAGAAUGUGUGCUUGCAUGCACAGGGUCCUGGGUUCAAUCCCCAGUACCUCUG
rnacentral:tRNA from 1 species